rnacentral:rRNA from 1 species
CGUACACUCCUGCGGGAGGCAGCAGUGGGGAAUAUUGCACAAUGGGCGCAAGCCUGAUGCAGCCAUGCCGCGUGUAUGAAGAAGGCCUUCGGGUUGUAAAGUACUUUCAGCGGGGAGGAAGGCGAUAAGGUUAAUAACCUUGUCGAUUGACGUUACCCGCAGAAGAAGCACCGGCUAACUCCGUGCCAGCAGCCGCGGUAAUACGGAGGGUGCAAGCGUUAAUCGGAAUUACUGGGCGUAAAGCGCACGCAGGCGGUCUGUCAAGUCGGAUGUGAAAUCCCCGGGCUCAACCUGGGAACUGCAUUCGAAACUGGCAGGCUAGAGUCUUGUAGAGGGGGGUAGAAUUCCAGGUGUAGCGGUGAAAUGCGUAGAGAUCUGGAGGAAUACCGGUGGCGAAGGCGGCCCCCUGGACAAAGACUGACGCUCAGGUGCGAAAGCGUGGGGAGCAAACAGGAUUAGAAACCCCGGUAGUCCC